CCGUGCACAUGCAAAAAUACGUGGAACAAAAGCAGAUUUUACACCGCACGGAUCACCCUCAAGAUGCCAAGACCUUGCAAGGAGAAAGCAGAACUGCCUGCUGCCAGAAAUUUCUGGGCGCUACCAAGCUGGAGCACAACUUGAGCUGUCAUUUUCAGGUAAUGUAUCUUCACUUGCAACUUAAACAUUCCCCUUUUCUACCCCCAGAAGCGACCCUAAGUGUGCUGCCAGCAAAAAGGGGGCCAGCUCUGGAGCUUGGGAUUUUUACAUGAAAGGCAAUAGGUGAAACAACUGCAUCAUUAUCAAU
rnacentral:lncRNA from 1 species